UUUAUAUUAUAUCAUUUACGCCUUUCUUUAAUUAUCUAAACCUGUUAAAUUUCAUCAAUCUACUUUAUUCCAAUUCCUUAAUAAAUUCACCCCGAGAAAGAAAAAAGAAAAGCUCGAUUCGAACAUUUCUCGAAACCGAUACCGAUACUGCCAAUACUUUUAUAUUCGUCUAACUUUAUAUAAUUUGAACUUGUCAGUCACAAAUAGGUAUAAGAAAGAAGAGAAAGCGGAACACUUCGUGCAAGACGUGUUUUAUAACACUUGCAGUCAUUUAUCUUAAUUUUUCGACAUUUUUAUUUAUUUUCCUUUUCUUUUUUUUUUUUUCACACUCUAAGUAAUCUAGAUUAAUUUUACCUCUUCUAAAAUUUCAAUCGUAAAACCAACCAACCAACCAACCCUCUUCGACAACCGAUUAAUCCAACUUUUGCCCAACGAUCUCACGUAUCGAAUCUAAUAGAUAUCUUCUUAAAUUCAACGUAUAUUUCUACAUCUAUCUAUCGAUUCCAAUAUUAAUAAUAAUAAUAUACGUUAAUUUUAUUUAAAAAAAUCUCCAAACCAACGAUCUCAAACACGUACGAAUCUAAUGGAUAUCUUCUUAAUUCAACGUGUAUUUCUAUAUCUAUCUAUUAGUUAGAUUAAUCUAACUUUUGCCCAACGAUCUCAAACACGCGUAUCGAAUCUAAUGGAUAUCUUCUUAAAUUCAACGUGUAUUUCUACAGAUCUAUCGAUUCCAAUAAUAAUAAUAAUAUAAAUUAAUUAUAUUUAAAAAAUCUCCAAACCAACGAUCUCAAACACGUGUAUCGAAUCUAAUGGAUAUCUUCUUAAAUCCAACGUAUAUUUCUACAUCUAUCUAUCGAUUCCAAUAUUAAUAAUAAUAAUAAUAUACGUUAAUCAUAUUUAAAAAAAUCUCCAAACCAACGAUCUCAAACACGUGUAUCGAAUCUAAUGGAUAUCUUCUUAAAUCCAACGUAUAUUUCUACAUCUAUCUAUCGAUUCCAAUAUUAAUAAUAAUAAUAAUAUACGUUAAUCAUAUUUAAAAAAAUCUCCAAACCAACGAUCUCAAACACGUGUAUCGAAUCUAAUGGAUAUCUUCUUAAAUUCAACGUGUAUUUCUACAUCUAUCUAUCGAUUCCAAUAUUAAUAAUAAUAAUAAUAUACGUUAAUCAUAUUUAAAAAAUCUCCGUAAUCUAUAUUAAUUUUACCUCUUCUAAAAUUUCAAUCGUGAAACCAACCAACCCGCUUGGACAAUCGAUUAAUCCAACUUUUGCCCAACGAUCUCAAACACGCGUAUCGAAUCUAAUGGAUAUCUUUUUAAAUCCAACGUAUAUUUCUACAGAUCUAUCGAUUCCAAUAAUAAUAAUAAUAAUAUAAAUUAAUUAUAUUUAAAAAAUCUCCAAACCAACGAUCUCAAACACGCGUAUCGAAUCUAAUGGAUAUCUUCUUAAUUCAACGUGUAUUUCUACAUCUAUCUAUUAGUUAGAUUAAUCCAACUCUUGUCCAUGGUCUCAUGUAUCGAAUCUAAUAGAUAUCUUCUUAAAUCCAACGUAUAUUUCUACAGAUCUAUUCCAAUAAUAAUAAUAAUAAUAAUAAUAAUAUAAAUUAAUUAUAUUUAAAAAAAUCUCCAAACCAACGAUCUCAAACACGCGUAUCGAAUCUAAUGGAUAUCUUCUUAAUUCAACAUAUAUUCUACAUAUAUUUCUACAUCUAUCUAUUAGUUAGAUUAAUCCAACUCUUGUCCACGGUCUCAUGUAUCGAAUCUAAUGGAUAUCUUCUUAAAUCCAACAUAUAUUUCUACAGAUCUAUCGAUUCCAAUAAUAAUAAUAAUAAUAAUAAUAAUAAUAUACGUUAAUUAUAUUUAAAAAAAAAAGAACGAUAUGAUAACAUUAAUCCUGGUCGAAAAUCCUGGGAAAUAAUCUGCCAUGGAUCGCGGUACAAUUCACCCUUAUACUACAACGCCUACUAUUUACACGACAUCUCAUCGCGGGCUUAUCUCAUCGCGGAUCGUAUCGAAGAUCCAUUAGAAGCUCGUAAAUACAUGUGCGCAUAUGCGCGCACGUCGGAAAGCACGGUGAUUAACCCAGAAAACCCGAUGAUCGUACAUCGACCUGCGAGUGUACUCGCGGCGAGAGAGCAAGAUACAGAGAGGAAGAAGGGGGAGCAGCCUGUUUCUAAGAAUCUCAACGUGCUAGCAACCAUCCCUUGGAUGCUUGCCAAGCAUCGGCCUAUCGCAAAUAUAGGCGGUUAAUGCUCGCCUCACACCGAAUCUCCUCUCCCUCUCCCUGUUUCUCAAGGAAAUUCAUUGCUCCAAGACAUCCACCAAGGCGUCCCCUUUGAUCCGCGGCGGAUGGUGCGUCGUUCUUUGAUGUUGUUUUCGAUAUAACAAUAAAAAGAGGGGGGGGAAAAAAAAGAGCGUCGAUGAUAAUGUCAAAGAACCGAGGUUCGUGAUAAGGCAUCGUCGUUAUCAAUCGUUUUUUAAUACCUUCUCUUUUAAGGUAAAGAUCUACUAUCGUCCAAUGGUAUUGUUUGUCGAGAGAUAAAAGAAUAAACAACGAUUAGGCUCGUUUGAUCAAUUAAAUCCUUGAAUAAGCUUAGAAAUAUUGGUACAACGAUUUCUUUGAUCGGGUCGUUUCGGCGUCUUUACGGCCUUAUCAGAUACGUUUGCAGGGUGUAUUUAACUGUUAAUUGUUCGAAAUAUUUUUCCUCAAGAUAUUCGAUUCCCAAGAGAAAGCGUGCUCGUGUUGGCAAGGUGGCCCGGCUAGCUCAGUCGGUAGAGCAUGAGACUCUUAAUCUCAGGGUCGUGGGUUCGAGCCCCACGUUGGGCGACGCCAAAUUUCUUUUUUUUCUCUUUAAAAAUAUCGAAAAAUCACGCAACAUCGAGAUACGCAAGACUGAAGCUUUCAAUUCCAUCGAUAGAUCCCAGAUAACUUUGAUCUUCUCGCUCAAGAUUAAUUUUCCGAAUAUAUUUUAAUAUUUUCUAUAAAAAUUCGACGUCGAAAUCAUCGACUUAUAUAUUUCAUAAAUUUGUAUACGUAUUUGACUCCUGUUUUACUUUAUUCAUAUCUCGAUAAAAAUGGGUUCUGUCCACGAAUCGAACCGUCUCGGUAAUUUUCCCGAGAUCUGAAACAGGAAGCCGAUGUAAUGUGAAUAACAAAAAUCAUCGUAAUCUUAUCAGAAUCGAGAGGCACGCGAAGGUAACGAUUCUCACAUGUUUGGUUCGAAGAGAGAGAGAGAGAGAAAAAAGGCACACCUGACACAUCAGCAGCGUGACAAAUCCGAUUUCGUCCGAUCGAAAUAACCAGACGCGAUGGCGUGAUGUAACACGUUCGUGCGUUACAUACGAGAUCAGAACGUUUCUUCGAACGCGUCAGAUUCGUGGGAUCCUUUAAUGGAUCUCCCUUGAUCCUCCGUGCUUGCCUAAUAUUAUCUAAGAAAUUGGAUAAUAAAUCCUAUUUACCAAUUAAGGAAGUUUUGUCGUUUCUCUUCUACGAGAGAGAGAAAAAUAUACAAUAACACAUCCAUUUGUUAAAACACACUUGUGUAAUUCUGACGGACGAAUAAUUUUCUUUCUCCAUUCUGCUUAAUAGUAAGCUAUCAAUUCCGAGGAAUUCCAACUAAGAAAGUCUUCCGUCAGUUUAUGAAAAAUAAUUUGUUCGUAAAAUUUGUGCAAAUUCACUGUAUUAUAAAAAGUGAAUUGAUCUCCCCACUCUUUGAUUAUUUUCAAAGAAUAUCGUAAUAAUAAUUAACCGAGGAAAUUCUUUUUCACGAAAAUUGAAAAUUUACCGCGUAAAAUAAAUCAACGUUAAUAAAACUCGUAAUAAUCCACAAAACGGCUGCGAACGAUCGAGAAUUAAGAUUAUAUCCGUGAUGAAUUAUACUUGGAACGUUGCACGAAUGUCACAAUGGAUAAAAAAUUUUCCUUCCACUCUCAUUCUCCCGGACAAUUUCUUCGGACAAUUAUUAUAUACACGAAAUUACGAUCUCUUCUAUUUAUCAUCUACGAUACGUCAUUGCAUAUCAUUACAAUAUCACGAUUUCUCUCGAAAGAGAUCUCUCACGCCUAUACGCAACUAUCAGAAACAUCCGAUUUACAUCAUCCCCCUUCGUUCUUUUAUAUCCAAUCAAAAAAAAAAGAAAAAGAAAAAUCUUCCAUUCGAAACGCUCUCUCGCGAGCACGAACGCGAAUUAAAAUUUAAAAUCAAUCUUCCUUCCGCGUUUCCUCCCUUCCAUCUACCAAAAAAAAGAAAGAAAGAACAACGAAUCUAUCUUGAUUAUUCGGUGUAAAGAUUCUCCUUCUCCCCAAAAGAAGGGAGAGGCAGAAAGAAAAGAAAGAAGCGAAGAGUUCAGGACAGGUGCGCAGAGCCUGAGGUGAGGAAUCUUUGGAGGGAAGAGGAGGAGGAGGAGGUGGAAAGAAGAAAGAUGGAAAGAGGGGAAUGUUGAAUAGGAGGUGAGAUCGAAACGGUGCGGAAUAGAAGGCCGGGGUGCCAGGUGUUUCGGAAAGUUAUUUUUGAUUGCAGUUCCGAUGCAGAGGGGGAUAGGGCUGGUCCACGGAGUCGUGUAUUUUUAGGUGGUGCACGGCAUGCGGCACACCACCGCAACGUUUUCGACACGACCCGAAAUAAAGUGUUUAUCGAACUCGACUCGCUAGAGAGAGAGAGAGAGAGAGUGUGUGUGUGUGUGUGUGUGUGUGUGAGGAUCGUAAUCAACAGCCUCUCGCGUCCCUGGCCGGCGAAAGUAGAUCGGUUUACGGUAUCGUGUAGGGAGACAAUGCGUAAUUAAUAGCCCGUGACUCUUUCCGCUUCCUAUCCACGCUCCUCCGAUGUGCAACAACACGUACUUGGAUCUGAUUGAAAUCGAUAUUCCACCAUCAAGUAUUUAAUGUAUUAUAAAAUUAGAUGAAUUGCGUGCAUCUGGAUUGGAUAGUAAUGUGAUGCAUCUAAGGGAGAAAGGUUGAGUUAAUUGCUGACUCUCGCUACUGUGCUCGUUGCAUAACUUACGUUUCUUUGUACUCUCGUUUAUUUCCUUAUAUCUCGAAAAUUUGUUGUAUAUGUUUCGAAUACUUUGUAUCCCAAAUGCAUCACAAGUAUCUGUAAUUUUCUUAAAAUUGGAAAUAGAAAAGGUGGACGAAAGAAGAAAUUCUAGAGCGUGGUGUGAUUCUUAUAAAUAUGAAAUCGUAUGAUUAAUUAGCCUAGAGAAGAAUGCGUAGAACGGAAAAUAAAAUUCUACGAUAUUUUUUUCUUUUUUUUAUUAAGAUAUACCGGUUUUUAAAGAGAUUUUUUUCACGAAUAUUUAGACAAGAAAUAGGGUGUUCGAGAUAUUCCACGAUCAGAUUUUGUACAAGUUUCGAAAAAACGGAGCGAUCACUUACCCCACACGUGCUAAUUCGCCAACAUUUUUGUUCAUCCAAGCGUUUAAAUUCUAAACGUGUAUAUUUAUAUUUUUGUAUAUAUUUAUACCUGUAUAUUCCUCAUCAAUAAAACAUCUAAACUCCACGUAAUGGCCACCUCCAACGCUAUCACGUGUAAUCAAGCAUCGAUUCCGAGGGUACAACUAACUGGUGUAAAAUUAUCCUUAAAAAUGGCAUAAUUAGAUAUCGCGGUUAAUAAUCGUAUUAGACGACCUUACGUAUAAAUCGAAAGAGUCUGGAAAAAUACAUUUUUGUACAAUUUUUACAAACUUACGAAAGAAAACGUGUUCGUUCAACUCGAUAAUGAACUAAGAAUAUGUGGAAUUAUGUAUCUGGGUCAUAGUGCUCGCGCCAGUAUAUAAAUAAUUAAUUCUAUAUAACAUUUGCAAAAUUAUUUUACCUCGUGUGCAUUUCGUAAUUUUUUUGUUACGAUAUAAAAAUAGCUUUUCUUUUUUCAACGUUUUUCCUAGAGAAAUUAAUGCGUAGUAGUACGAGAGAUCAUUCUAUCAUCUCUGCUAAUUGAAAUAUAUAUAUAUACAUACAUCUCAAUUUGUUUAAAUUAUAUUUUACAAUCCAUUCUUUUCUCUCUCUCUCUCUCUCUCUGUUUAAGUAUUUCUCGAAAAACUUGUCUUGCGCAAAUAAAAAACGAUAAGAAAAAUUGAAAAGGAAAAGAUAAAGUAACGACAGAUAUGAAUAAUAACGUAAGAUAUUCAUUCGCGUAAAGAUAUACCUAACUAAUCGCCGAAACGGCAAACACCAAUUCGGAUUCCUCGAUUGACGGAGCGAGACGAGAAUUAUAACCACUGUUUACAGAGAGGCAUAAUAAACGCACAGAUAAAAAGUGGGCUCUUGGGAAGAGAGAAGAAAAAUUUCACGCACGUGUCACGAACGGUCGGAAGGGAGAUAGACGUAUAACGAAAAACGAUCCUCGCUAAACGACUUUAUCUACGAUUUAUCGCGGAUCGAGAAGAAUUCACGGGUGGUGGGAGUCGAUGAAAGUAGUUGCCACGGGGUCGACACGUGAUAAUGCCAACCCAUGGGCUUCGAGGAACGCACGUGUUCAAAGAGGAAUGGCGAAAAUGCCGCUCCAAAGUGGCCACGACGACACGGAUGCCGUUUUGUAAACGCGUCCGGGUACACAGCUAUUUUCCGACUGUCCUAAUUCCAACGUGAGACUGUUUGCCGGCAGAUUUUCAUGGGUUCGAAACGGAAAACAAUUACUUCGGCCGGAUUACGCUUCUCUCGGGGGAGAGGAGAAAACAUUAUUGUUAUCAGAUUGGUUGCUUCGAUAACGUGGAAAUGCCAUUCUUUCUGACGCUAUAUUUUGUAAGAUCGAUAUUAAAUAAUAUUAAUAAAAAAUAU